AAGAGCCCUGAGAGAUGAUUAGGUAGAUAGGUUAGAAGUGGAAGUGUGGCGACACAUGUAGCGGACUAAUACUAAUAGCUCGAGGACUUAUCCAAA
rnacentral:rRNA from 1 species